GCGCUGGAGAUGGAACCGUGGGUCUUCAGGGUGCUGGACAUCUGAGCUGUUUCUCCAUCUUGGCUAUUGUGAACACCAUAAACAUGGACGUGCAAGACUCUCUGUGUGGCAGAGAGGGAGAACUAGUCCAGAUGGUACCGACAGAUGACAUGCACAGAUUUCCACGCUGUGCUGGGGGCUGCGUCUGGAGCCUCACACAAGCUGAGAAGUCUUGCUUCACCACGGAGCUACCUACUAGUCAAAUGUUGCAUAUCUUGGCAGAAAUCUCCUUGUUAAUUUCUCUAUUAUCUUUAUUUUUUCCAACUUCCAUCCUGAGUAAAUGUCUCAUUAGGGCAAUACCUAC
rnacentral:lncRNA from 1 species